UAACAGCAAUAAGCUUGGACCUCUACGUGGUGCUGUUGACUAGUAGCCUUUAGGUGAAGCCAACACAAGC
rnacentral:ribozyme from 1 species